AAAAAGGUAAGCUAAAUUUAAGCUAAUAGGUUCAUACCCUAUUCAUGGAGAUAUUAAUUCUCCCCUUUUUA
rnacentral:tRNA from 1 species